UCGUACUACAGAGGUGCUCAGGUUGUCGCUGACCUUUUUGGUCGUGCACGCCCGAGUGCUCUCAAUCCAUUUCACCCUUUGUGCAUCACCGCGCGGGGUCUCUUCCUCUUGGCUUGCUUCAAGAGGGGGAGGUUCGCGUUUUUCAUACAAACACCCUUCUAGUUUAGAAUGUCAUUCAUUUGCGAUCAUACGCAAUCAAUA
rnacentral:misc_RNA from 1 species